rnacentral:rRNA from 1 species
GACAGAGGGUGCAAACGUUGUUCGGAUUUACUGGGCGUAAAGCGCGUGUAGGCGGCUUUGCAAGUCGGAUGUGAAAUCCCACGGCUCAACCGUGGAAGUGCAUCCGAAACGGCAUGGCUGGAGUCCCGGAGAGGAAGGUGGAAUGCUUGGUGUAGAGGUGAAAUUCGUAGAUAUCAAGCAGAACACCUGCGGCGAAGGCGGCCUUCUGGACGGUGACUGACGGCUGAGACGGCGAAAGCGUG